GGACCCUUAGUUCAGUUGGUAGAAUAUGUGAUUCCAGCUUGCUCCAAUGGCAGUUAGUUUCCACAAGGUCAUCCGUUCAAAUCGGGUAGGGUUCA